rnacentral:misc_RNA from 1 species
CAAGUGACCCCGGUCUAACCACCGGGAUGUUCAUAACCCUUUGUUGUCCGACUCUGUUGCCUCCGGGGCGACCCUGCCUUCGGGCGGGGGCUCCGGGUGGACACUUCAAACUCUUGCGUAACUUUGCAGUCUGAGUAAAUUUAAUUAAUAAAUUA